AAGGUUAUGGGCACAGACAGUCUUUGCAUUUAAUUUUUUUUUUGACAUUUGAAGAAAGAAGAAAUAUAAAUUAUUGAAAAUGAAUUCUAUGCAUCAAAUUGAGAAACUUGAAAUUAUGAAAGUUGGCGUAUCCAGAUGAGAAGCGUGCUCAUCCAUUGUGGACAAUGGGGAAUUGUCAGCGGUGAUACGAAAAUCGAUCCUUCAAAAGAAGAUGCUGAGACUGCGAGAUUGAAGAUGGAGGAUCAAAAGGCGCUUGCAACAAUCAUCCUAAGCGUGAAACCCUCUCAACUGAAUUUAAUCAAGAAUUGUACUACAUAGGUGGAAGCGUGGGUAAAGCUCCAAGAAGUUCACAAACCUCAAGAUCCGAUGCAGAAAGUGGCAUUGUACAAGAAAAUGCUGGGCUUGACCAUGAAGGACAAUGGUAAUAUGUCGCAACAUCUUAACGAGUUCGUUGAAAUAUCGGAGAAGCUAGCCGAGAUUGGAAUUUUUUAUCUUUGAAGUAGAAGUUGCUGGAAGAAUCACAAAGAAAAUGCCAGAUGGAGAAAGAAGAAUUGCCAGAACAACAGAUAUUUGCUGCCAAAUCAAACAGACGUCGAGAUGACGAAGCUUCGGGAUCCAGAAACAAAUAUCAAGCUAGUAAAUGUGAUGCAAGUCAAAGCAAGAAAGGACAUCAAUCCUUUACGAUGUUAGCUGUUUCUGAAGCAGGUAAGCUGAAUAAGUCAGGUAAUAAGCAGGUAAGCUGAAUAUGUGCAAUGAUAGAAGAUUAUUCACCAAGUUCGAGGAACAUAAUGAACGAAUUGCAUUGGCUGGUAAUAAUUUUUUGAAAGCUGUUGGCAGAGGUGAAGUUUUGAUAAAGUCAAAAGGCAGUGUAGUUACACUUAAUAACGUUUUAUAUUCGCCAGAGCUGCAGGCAAAUUUUAUAUCCAUAAGUAAGGCAGCAAACCAAGGAUUGGAUGCCACGUUUACCAAAUCGAAUACGGUCAUAACGAGAAAGCCUAAUGUAAUUAUUUUAAAAGCCUCGAAAGUUGACGAUAUGUUUGUAGUUGAAAAUCAGCAAGAAAAAGCAUUUAUGAUGACAUCAAAUCUUUGGCACAAUCGUUACGGGCAUUUAAAUCACAAAAGUUUGAGUGAACUUACAUCCAGAAAUAUGGUAAGGGGUAUGAAAGCCAUCCAGGGGUCAAAGGAUACGAAGUGCAAAAGCUGUAUGCUUUGAAAAGUGCAUACACUACCAUUCCCGAAAGAGUCGGAAACUUCAGCGAAAGAAAUCCUGGAAGUCAUACAUAGCUAUGUUUGCGGUCCGAUCGGAGUUCCGUCUGUUGGUUGUUCAAAAUAUUUCUCAACCUUCGUAGAUGAUAAAUCUCGCAGAAUUUUUGUAUAUUUCUUAAAGUCGAUGGAUCAAGUUUUUGCAAAGUUUAAGGAAGUGCAAGUGCUCGUGGAGAGGCAUACUGGUAAGAAAAUCAGGGUACUUCGCAGUGACAAUGGUGGCGAAUAUAUCAAGCAUGAAUUUGACAAACAUUUGAAAGGUUGUGGUAUUAAAAGGCAGUUGACUGCUCCACACAGUCCUCAGCAAAACGGUGUGGCUGAACGCGCCAAUAGAACUCUUGUGGAGAUGGCAAGAACCAUGAUGCUUCAUGCUGGUGUGGAAGAUAAUCUAUGGGCAGAAGCAAUAAUGACAGCGGUUCAUUUGAGAAAUAGAUGUCCCACACCUUGCAGAUAAGACAGCUUAUGAAGUGUGGCAUCGUAAGAAACCAAAUGUGUGUCAUUUUCGAACUUUCGGUUCAUAUUGCGUUGCUUUGAACAAAACUCAUAAACGUAGUUUGAAAAGAGAGGAGAGGAGUACAUAAUGGUGGGUUAUUCCUUAGUCUCAAAAACCUAUCGAUUAUAUGAUAAAAAGCAAAGAAAGGUAGUUGAAAGAAGAGAUGUUGUUUUUGAUGAAAACAAAUUUCAAUUAGAUACGAAGGAUUUGCCAAAGAAAGAUUGUUUUACAUUUUAGUUGCCACAAAAUCAACCUGAACAGAUCGAAAGUCAUGGGGAUGAUGAUCAAAUUGAACGCGUCGAACAACAAAUAUCUGAAAGUAUUGAAAAUGGAGGCAAUGAUGAUGACGAUUUUGAUACUGCUGAUGAAGAUUCGAUUUCUGAUGGGCAGGAGGAGAUACCAAAAGUUGGCCCAGGAAGACCAAAAAUGGUACGAACAGGAAAGCCCGGAAGACCCCGGAAGGUAUAUAAUGUUUUACAUCGCAUGACAACUGAAAAUAUUCCUCAGACAGUCAAAGAAGCCAUGGAUAGCGACCAUUCUAAUGAAUGGCGGGAGGCUGUGGUAGCUGAAUUUAAUGCAUUGCAGAGGAAAAAUACCUGGGAAGAGGUUUUUGCACCAUCAAGCCAUUGGAUGUAAAUGGGUAUUCGCAUUGAAACGCAAUAAGCACAACGAAAUAGAACGCUAUAAAGCACGUUUGGUAGCGGAGGGAUAUAGUCAGCGAUAUGGAACUGACUUCAAAGAGACGUUCUCUCCAGUGGUUCGAUAUGCCACUAUAAGAAUGCUACUAGCUAUAGCGGCCCAGGAGGAGAUGCACUUACAUCAAAUAGACGUAAGUACGGCUUAUCGCAAUAGUGAAUUGCACGAAGACGUAUACAUGAAGCCACCAGAAGGUUUUAAAAUUGGCAACGGCAAAGUUUUGAAGUUACGAAAGGCAAUUUAUGGCUUAAAACAGUCUGGACGAGGAUGGAACGAAAAAUUAGACACUGUUUUAGGGAAUUUUUGAUUUGUACCUUUCGAAAAUGAGCCAUGUUUAUAUAAAAUGAAAAAGGAUAAUGAAACAAUAUUACUGGCAGUGUACAUAGCAUGCAAAAACGAACAGGAAAUUCUUCAAAUAAAAGCAAAGAUCGCAGGCGAAUUUAAUAUCAGUGACAAGGGAAGAUUGCAACAUUUUCUGGGCAUGGAGAUAGAACGAGAAAAUAAUACAGGUUGUAUAACGUUGAGCCAGAUUCAGUACAUAAAGGACAUGCUAAAUGAAUACGGAAUGAAAGAUUGCAAGACGUCUUCACUACCUUUAACUCCAGGAUAUCAAGUAAAAUGUGAUGAGGAAUGCAAGAAAGCAAAUCAGCACGAAUAUCAAUCAAUUAUUGGAGCAUUAACUUAUCUCGCAAUUACUACACGUCCAGAUAUUCUACAUUCAGUGAACAAGCUAGCUCAAAGAAAUGCUGAUCCUCGUGUGGAACACUUUGUAGCAGCGAAAAAUAUUCUACGAUAUCUGGCAGGAACAGUUAAUCUUAAGUUGGUAUUCAAGGCUGGUUAGAAAUGUGUAUACGGUUAUGCAGAUGCAGACUGGGGAAGCAGUACAACUGAUCGAAAAUCAUAUACCGGUAACAUACUUUUCCUCAAUGGUUGUGCUGUAUCUUGGGAGAGCAAGAAGCAGAGCACAGUGGCCUUUAAUAGCACAGAAGCCGAGUAUAUGGCGAUGUCAAAUGCUGCAAAAGAGGCAAUAUACUUGAAACGUUUGUUCGAAGAAAUGGAAUACAUAAUCGGUGAUCCAGUAUUGUAACAUGUUGAUAACCAGGGAGCUUACAAGUUGGCUCAAACCCCCGUCUUUCACAAUCGUACCAAGCAUGUUGACAUCAAGUUUCACCAUGUACGAGAAGUAGUUCGAAAUAAAGAGGUAGAACUAAAAUAUUAUCCAACUAAUGAUAUGGUUGCAGAUAUUUUAACAAAGAAUUUAAGUAAAAUCAAGCAUCUUAAAUUUGUAAAUUUAAUUGGAAUAUUUUAAUUUUUAAAAUAACUUUAUUGUUUUGGAACAUUCAUGUUGAGAACGAGUGUUAGAAUUAUACUUCAUUGUGUUUUAUGUACAACAUGUAUGUUUCACUUUAGUUUAUAAGUAAUCUUAGUAGGUCUUGAAUUAUGACAAUGUUAACUCUUAUAUCAUAUAUGUAUGCAUUGAAUAAUUAUAGUCAUUCAAUAAAAACGAUUCAAACUAACACGGUCCUCAUCGCUCCGCCUGUGCCAAGACAA